AUUUUGGAGAAGGGAAGUCGGAACACAAGGAAGGACCGCUCACCCGCGGACUCAGGGCUGGCGGCGGGACUCCGGGACCCUGGGUCCAGCAUGGAGGUGGUGGACCCGCAGCAGCUGGGCAUGUUCACGGAGGGCGAGCUGAUGUCGGUGGGUAUGGACACGUUCAUCCACCGCAUCGACUCCACCGAGGUCAUCUACCAGCCGCGCCGCAAGCGGGCCAAGCUCAUCGGCAAGUACCUGAUGGGGGACCUGCUGGGGGAAGGCUCUUACGGCAAGGUGAAGGAGGUGCUGGACUCGGAGACGCUGUGCAGGAGGGCCGUCAAGAUCCUCAAGAAGAAGAAGUUGCGAAGGAUCCCCAACGGGGAGGCCAACGUGAAGAAGGAAAUUCAGCUACUGAGGAGGUUACGGCACAAAAAUGUCAUCCAGCUGGUGGAUGUGUUAUACAACGAAGAGAAGCAGAAAAUGUAUAUGGUGAUGGAGUACUGCGUGUGUGGCAUGCAGGAAAUGCUGGACAGCGUGCCGGAGAAGCGUUUCCCGGUGUGCCAGGCCCACGGGUACUUCUGUCAGCUGAUUGACGGCCUGGAGUACCUGCACAGCCAGGGCAUUGUGCACAAGGACAUCAAGCCCGGGAACCUGCUGCUUACCACCGGUGGCACCCUCAAAAUCUCCGACCUGGGCGUGGCCGAGGUAGGCACGUGCUAGGGGGGGCCCUGGGGCGCCCCCUCCCGGGCACUCCCUGAGGGCUGCACGGCACCGCCACAGGCACUGCACCCGUUCGCGGCGGACGACACCUGCCGGACCAGCCAGGGCUCCCCGGCUUUCCAGCCGCCCGAGAUUGCCAACGGCCUGGACACCUUCUCCGGCUUCAAGGUGGACAUCUGGUCAGCUGGGGUCACCCUCUACAACAUCACCACGGGUCUGUACCCCUUCGAAGGGGACAACAUCUACAAGUUGUUUGAGAACAUCGGGAAGGGGAGCUACGCCAUCCCGGGCGACUGUGGCCCCCCGCUCUCUGACCUGCUGAAAGGUGGGAGCCUCGUCCCUCUGCCCGCAGCCCCAAGGAGGCGGGGCUUUUGUGCAGAAAUGUAGGGUUGGGGGUGUCAGGUGGGGGGCUAUUGGCCCCGAGACCCCAGCAGGCCUUGAGAGGACUGAGUGGAGAGGCCGACCUCCCCGCAGGGCCUGGUUUGCCGGGUCCCUCAGCUCCACCCUGCUUCUGGGCCCUGUUCACCCUCCGAGCUCCCACCCCAGAGGGCAGUGCUGCCCUGCGCCUCCCCCAGCCCCACCCUCGGGGGCUCCCUGGCUUGCAGGGUCUGUCAGGCUUGUCCUGCUGCACUUCCUACGCAUGGCAGCAGGUGGCACUGGCCGUCCGUCCAUCUGCCCAGUGGCCUUGGGAGAAUGGAACCGCCCUGGCCGUCCAGCCCAGCCCUGUCUCCCUGCCAGCCGCGCACAGGCUGUCCCCGGCAUGUCCCAGGAGUGGAGUGGCCUCUGUCAGGGAGACCGCCUGUGCGCGGGGCCCCCCUUAGGAGCAUCCAGGUAUCACCCAGGGCCUGACAACAGAGGCUGGGCAGGCGGGGACGGUUGGCGGGGUCUCAGGCCCGUGCCCAGCUGACUGGCUCCUCGCCUGCUUCUCCUCAGGGAUGCUUGAGUACGAGCCGGCCAAGAGGUUCUCCAUCCGGCAGAUCCGGCAGCACAGCUGGUUCCGGAAGAAACAUCCUCCGGCUGAAGCACCAGUGCCCAUCCCACCGAGCCCAGACACCAAGGACCGGUGGCGCAGCAUGACUGUGGUGCCGUACUUGGAGGACCUGCACGGCGCGGGCGAGCACGAGGACCUCUUCGACAUCGAGGAUGACAUCAUCUACACUCAGGACUUCACGGUGCCCGGACAGGUCCCAGAAGAGGAGGCCAGUCAGAAUGGACAGCGCCGGGGCCUCCCCAAGGCCGUGUGUAUGAACGGCACAGAGGCGGCGCAGCUGAGCACCAAAUCCAGGGCGGAGGGCCGGGCCCCCAACCCUGCCCGCAAGGCCUGCUCCGCCAGCAGCAAGAUCCGCCGGCUGUCGGCCUGCAAGCAGCAGUGAGGCUGGCCGCCUGCAGGUGGGGCACGGCGGGGCCCGGGUGGGGCAUGUGGGGACAACGCCUGGAUGCCACAGCCAGCUGUGAGCAUAGCCCGCGCUGGUCAGUCAUGGUGACCGUCACGUGGCUGCGCGUCGUUGCCAUGUGGCCUUUGGGUGGCUUGGCCACGUAACGAUCCCCGUGGAGGGUGCCGUCUCGGGGCCUGGUGUCUGGCCAGCGUGCUGGUCAUGGAGGCCUAUGUGUGGCGGGGCUCUGGGGGGGCGUGCCGUCCUCACAGCCACCUCUCAGAGUGGGUGCAUUCCGAGGACCCUGCCCUGGGCCUGGCGCCCCCUCCCCAUGCCCGGGCUGCUCCCAGGAAAGGCUUAUGCUGGGCUCAGCCCAGAGGCUUUUGAGCACCAGUGGGUGGUGGGUGGUGGGGAGGGGCCGUGGCCUCCAUGGCUCUGCCGGGGUGCCGCAGGUUCUGAGCCAGCUGCCAAGUAUGGCUGAGGCUGAGUCGCGCCAGAUGCUGCCCUGUCUCUCCCUGUGUGCCUGCCUCCUCUCCCAGCCCCAGCCCCGGGUGGGAGAUGGAGUCCUAGAGGUGUCAGAGACCCUUGUUACCUGCCGAGGAUGCGGGGUGGAUGGGGGCCCGAGGCUGAAGCCCCUGCCUUGCCACAGCCCCUCUCCCAGGUUUUGGGGGCCACUGCCUGAGUUACAUGUCUGUCCCCCAAAUGGGUGCCCACAGCCCAUCCACCAGAGUCAGAGCCCGCCAGGCCCCACUGCAAAAGGCCACACAAUGUACCCCGGGAGUGACUCAAGGGUGGCCUUCCCUUGCCUCCCCUGCUGCCCCCCAGGAGUCCAGUAGCCCCAUGACUGUACCUCAGCUUCUCCAUCCUCCCAGGAGCCCGCGGGAGGCGGAGAACCGGUGCCCAGGCUGACCUCUUCCGUCCUCCUUCCACCCUGCAGCCCGUGUCCAGGAGCCCCGCCAGGUGCCCGCGCCAGGCCCUCCUCAGUCUUCCUGCCGGUCCCGCCCGCCCUCCCGGAGAGGUGGCCGCCAUGCUUCUGUGCCGACCACGCCCCAGGACCUCCGGAGCACCCUGCAGGGCCGGGCACGGGGACAGCAGGGACCGGGCGCAGCCCUCCCCUCGGCCGCCCGACAGUGCACGCGGCUUGUUGACUUCGCAGCCCGGGGCGGAGCCUUCCCUGGCGGGCGUGGGAGGAGGGAGGCGGCCUCCAUGCACUUUAUGUGGAGACUACUGGCCCCGCCCGUGGCCUCGUGCUCCGCAGGGCGCCCAGCGCCGUCCGGCGGCCCCGCCGCAGACCAGCUGGCGGGUGUGGAGACCAGGCUCCUGACCCCGCCAUGCAUGCAGCACCACCUGGAAGCCGC
rnacentral:sRNA from 1 species